rnacentral:rRNA from 1 species
UCUGGUGAUGAUGGCGAAGAGGUCACACCCGUUCCCAUCCCGAACACGGAAGUUAAGCUUUUCAGCGCC